rnacentral:rRNA from 1 species
UACGUAGGGUGCGAGCGUUGUCCGGAAUUAUUGGGCGUAAAGAGCUCGUAGGCGGUUUGUCGCGUCUGCUGUGAAAACUCGGGGCUUAACUCCGGGCCUGCAGUGGGUACGGGCAGACUAGAGUGCGGUAGGGGAGAUUGGAAUUUACGGUGUAGCAGUGAAAUGCGUAGAUAUCGUAAGGAAGACCAGUGGCGAAGGCGAAUCUCUGGACAGUUACUGACACUGAGGCACGAAGGCCAGGGGAGCAAACAGG